rnacentral:sRNA from 3 species
CGGACUUCCGAUCCAUUCGAAGACUACACACAAUGGACGGGAGCGACAAAUCUCACUUUGUGUAACAACACACACGUAUCGGCACAUAUUCCGGGGUGCCCUUUGGGGUCGGUAAUAUGGGAUACGUGGAGGCAUAACC